AGAACGAACGCUGGCGGCAUGCCUAACACAUGCAAGUCGAACGAGACCUUCGGGUCUAGUGGCGCACGGGUGCGUAACGCGUGGGAAUCUGCCCUUGGGUUCGGGAUAACAGUUGGAAACGACUGCUAAUACCGGAUAAUGACUUCGGUCCAAAGAUUUAUUGCCCAGGGAUGAGCCCGCGUAGGAUUAGCUAGUUGGUGAGGUAAAAGGCUCACCAAGGCGACGAUCCUUAGCUGGUCUGAGAGGAUGAUCAGCCACACUGGGACUUAGACACGGCCCAGACUCCUACGGGAGGCAGCAGUGGGGAAUAUGGACAAUGGGCGAAAGCCUGAUCCAGCAAUGCCGCGUGAGUGAUGAAGGCCUUAGGGUGUAAAGCUCUUUUACCCGGAUGAUAAUGACAGUACCGGAGAAAUAAGCCCGGCUAAACUCCGUAGCCAGCAGACCGC
rnacentral:rRNA from 1 species